rnacentral:rRNA from 1 species
UACGGAGGGUGCUAGCGUUGUUCGGAAUCACUGGGCGUAAAGAGCUCGUAGGCGGUCUGUUGCGUCGGCUGUGAAAACCCGGGGCUCAACUCCGGGCCUGCAGCCGAUACGGGCAGACUAGAGUUCGGCAGGGGAGACUGGAAUUCCUGGUGUAGCGGUGAAAUGCGCAGAUAUCAGGAGGAACACCGAUGGCGAAGGCAGGUCUCUGGGCAGUUGACUGACGUGGAGGAGCGAAAGCAUGGGGAGCGAACAGG